GAGAAAGGUGAUUUGGCAUCCACCUAUACUGAGCUGCACCAAAGUUUGCCUCUCCGGUAGAGUCUGUAAACAGCUCCUUUAGAAACCCAAACCAGACGUUCUUCCUUUUCUUCCGUGUACUGAGCCUGUGAAAGGCUUAAUUUCUGUUACUGUUUAACCAUUUAAGGGCAGGCCUUGUAGGUGAAGGUUAAUAGCACUGGAAAAAUGACCUGAGGAGCUCCAUGCUGCUCCACCAUCAUCAGUUUCAUCUCUCAGAGCUCCUUGCAUUUCUCAGGAAGAGGUAUAGUCUCUGCCUUUGGUCUGCUAGCCUUAUGCCUCUCCCUCCACCCCACCCUCUGAAUAAUUUGGACUGCAAAUACUGAAACCUGCUGAAGCUGGAGGUAGCCUUGCUAGCUAGGAGGAGCAUUUUGGGUGGUCAAACGUGUUCUGACAAAGUUCCACAAGAUAAAUUACCCACCACUUAGAUGACAGUGAAUGGUUUGUAACAUCAAAGUUUUGGGAGAUCAAGUAGCACAAAGAGAAGACGAAUGCAAUAAGAAACUGCAGUAGAAGAGGUCAGAUGUUAUGAAAAUAGCUUGCUCUGGGCUUUUUGUUUUGUCUUUUUCUGUAUUUCAGAUAAAAUAAUGGAAUUCUUAAUCUACAUUCCUCACCUGAGGACACUUCCUAACAGGUCCUCUGCUUUUUUUCCUGUGUGCUUUUUUAAUUACCCUGAUAGCUAGUUCUGUUCUAGCAGCAGCACUGCAGAAGUUUUCAGCUGGUAGGUAUGAUUUCUAACUGUGACAUGAUGUUGUAAUAAAGUUAUAGGAAUAUCAGCUCCUACUUAACCUGCAUACUAUAAUGUUUAAUGUCUUGUCCAUUAAAAUAAAAUUAUUGAAUUCUUGAGUGCUUCUAUCUCUUCUCCCUGUGAAUGCUCUUUAAAAGCUUUAUUAUUGUCAGUGCAUUUGCACUCUUAGGUUUGUUUCUCAUUUUCUUGAUUUUUAGUUAUUUUUGGGGGAAAAAAUUGCUGCUCAGUGGCAUUAGUAGGUGCCUUGCAUGUAGGCA